GUGGGGAAUAUUGCGCAAUGGGCGAAAGCCUGACGCAGCGACGCCGCGUGAGGGAUGAAGGUUCUCGGAUCGUAAACCUCUGUCAUCAGGGACGAACGGCCGGUGGAGUGGAAAGCCACCGGAUUGACGGUACCUGAGAAGGAAGCCACGGCUAACUACGUGCCAGCAGCCGCGGUAAUACGUAGGUGGCAAGCGUUGUCCGGGAUUAUUGGGCGUAAAGCGCGCGCAGGUGGGAUCUUAAGUCCAUUUUUAAAGUUCGGAGCUCAACUCCGUGAUGGGAUGGAAACUGGGAUUCUUGAGUACCGGAGAGGAAAGCGGAAUUCCCCGUGUAGCGGUGAAAUGCGUAGAUAUGGGGAGGAACACCAGUGGCGAAGGCGGCUUUCUGGACGGUGUCUGACACUGAGGCGCGAAAGCCAGGGGAGCGAACGGGAUUAGAAACCCCGGUAGUCC
rnacentral:rRNA from 1 species